AUCUAGCUAACGAGUCCCAUAUAGGACGAAACGUGCAUUCUGGAU
rnacentral:hammerhead_ribozyme from 1 species